AUUGAACGCUGGCGGCAUGCUUUACACAUGCAAGUCGAACGGUAACAGGCCGCAAGGUACUGACGAGUAGCGAACGGGUGAGUAAUGCAUCGGAACGUGCCCAGUCGUGGGGGAUAACGCAGCGAAAGCUGUGCUAAUACCGCAUACGAUCUAUGGAUGAAAGCGGGGGACCGUAAGGCCUCGCGCGAUUGGAGCGGCCGAUGUCAGAUUAGCUAGUUGGUGGGGUAAAGGACCACCAAGGCGACGAUCUGUAGCUGGUCUGAGAGGACGACCAGCCACACGGGGACUGAGACACGGGCCAGAGGACUACGGGAGGCAGCAGUGGGGAAUUUUGGAGAAUGGGCGCAAGCCUGGUCCAGCAAUGCCGCGUGCAGGAAGAAGGCCUUCGGGUUGUAAACUGCUUUUGUACGGAACGAACGGCCUGGGUUAAUACCCUGGGCUAAUGACGGUACCGUAAGAAUAAGCACCGGCUAACUACGUGCCAGCCGCCGCCGUAA
rnacentral:rRNA from 1 species